rnacentral:lncRNA from 1 species
CUUGUUUUCUGAAGGAAACCGUAACAUUCAGACAUUUAAGCUGUAAAUGAACUUUUCUUUAUGACGUUUAAUUUUCUCUCCAAUUCUUAGGUCCUGCUCCGCUUCGCAGUGGAAUGGAACGGAUUUAGAAGCCUGCAGUAGGGGAGUGGGGAGUGGAGAGAGGGAGCCCAGAGUUACAGACGGCGGCGAGAGGCCCCAAAGAGUCUGAUGUUUACAAGACCAGAAAUGCCACGGCCGCGUCCUGGCAGAGAAAAGGCUGAAAUGGAGGACCGGCGCCUUCCUUAUAAGUAUGCACAUUGGCGAGAGAAGUGCUGCAACCUAAACCAGCAAUUACACCCAAGCUCGUUGGGGCCUAAGCCAGUACCGACCUGGUAGAAAAAGCAACCACGAAGCUAGAGAGAGAGCCAGAGGAGGGAAGAGAGCGCCAGACGAAGGUGAAAGCGAACCACGCAGAGAAAUGCAGGCAAGGGAGCAAGGCGGCAGUUCCCGGAACAAACGUGGCAGAGGGCAAGACGGGCACUCACAGACAGAGGUUUAUGUAUUUUUAUUUUUUAAAAUCUGAUUUGGUGUUCCAUGAGGAAAAGGGAAAAUCUAGGGAACGGGAGUACAGAGAGAAUAAUCCGGGUCCUAGCUCGCCACAUGAACGCCCAGAGAACGCUGGAAAAACCUGAGCGGGUGCCGGGGCAGCACCCGGCUCGGGUCAGCCACUGCCCCACACCGGGCCCACCAAGCCCCGCCCCUCGCGGCCACCGGGGCUUCCUUGCUCUUCUUAUCAUCUCCAUCUUUAUGAUGAGGCUUGUUAACAAGACCAGAGAGCUGGCCAAGCACCUCUAUCUCAGCCGCGCCCGCUCAGCCGAGCAGCGGUCGGUGGGGGGACUGGGAGGCGCUAAUUAAUUGAUUCCUUUGGACUGUAAAAUAUGGCGGCGUCUACACGGAACCCAUGGACUCAUAAACAAUAUAUCUGUUGGGCGUGAGUGCACUGUCUCUCAAAUAAUUUUUCCAUAGGCAAAUGUCAGAGGGUUCUGGAUUUUUAGUUGCUAAGGAAAGAUCCAAAUGGGACCAAUUUUAGGAGGCCCAAACAGAGUCCGUUCAGUGUCAGAAAAUGCUUCCCCAAAGGGGUUGGGAGUGUGUUUUGUUGGAAAAAAGCUUGGGUUAUAGGAAAGCCUUUCCCUGCUACUUGUGUAGACCCAGCCCAAUUUAAGAAUUACAAGGAAGCGAAGGGGUUGUGUAGGCCGGAAGCCUCUCUGUCCCGGCUGGAUGCAGGGGACUUGAGCUGCUCCGGAAUUUGAGAGGAACAUAGAAGCAAAGGUCCAGCCUUUGCUUCGUGCUGAUUCCUAGACUUAAGAUUCAAAAACAAAUUUUUAAAAGUGAAACCAGCCCUAGCCUUUGGAAGCUCUUGAAGGUUCAGCACCCACCCAGGAAUCCACCUGCCUGUUACACGCCUCUCCAAGACACAGUGGCACCGCUUUUCUAACUGGCAGCACAGAGCAACUCUAUAAUAUGCUUAUAUUAGGUCUAGAAGAAUGCAUCUUGAGACACAUGGGUAACCUAAUUAUAUAAUGCUUGUUCCAUACAGGAGUGAUUAUGCAGUGGGACCCUGCUGCAAACGGGACUUUGCACUCUAAAUAUAGACCCCAGCUUGGGACAAAAGUUGCAGUAGAAAAAUAGACAUAGGAGAACACUUAAAUAAGUGAUGCAUGUAGACACAGAAGGGGUAUUUAAAAG